UGGGUAAAGGUUUAAAAAAUAAUGGUAACCUUGGGGGGUGGGGGGAAAUAAUAAUAAAUUUUUCUUUGGUAUUUUUAAUGGACAAAUGAUUUGAAACAGAUUUUUGUUUUUUCAAAACUGACACAUAUUAUGAGUCUGAUGGAUUAAUUAAUUCUUUUUCACGAAAGGUCGUGUUACUUAAAACCAUAUGAACUAUCAUUAAAAUUGAUAUAAUAAUAAACUUUCAUCAGUCAAACAAUUGAAACAUUCACAUUUAUAACUACAUGUAAAUGGAAUAACAACUAAUCAAUAAAAUACAAUUACAAAUACUUUUAUUAAAACCAUUUAAAAUGUUUCAAUGAAACAUAGGUGGUUUCGUGGUGUAGUUGGUUAUCACGUCAGUCUAACACACUGAAGGUCCCCAGUUCGAGCCUGGGCGAAGCCAAAUGGUGUUAACUCUAAUUUAAAUUUUAAUGCUUACCACUAUAUUUUUGUAAAUUUUACAAUGCAUCAACAUUAAUUUCAAAAGUUAAUUUACAAUUUUGUGAAUCAACUAAAUAAAAUUUAUUUUCUUCAAUGAGCCAAAGAGACAUGUCGUAAGAGAGAAUAUAGCUACAUUACAUAUUAUUUAAAAAUGACUAGGAUGAAGAACGAAGUUGAUUAAGCACUUUGAAGACUAUAGACACAUUGCGAUCAAAACCGUACCAGACAGGCCGCUAUGACUAGUUGAAGAGAAAACGGAACAGUGUCAUGUCCAAUUAAACAUAAUAACCUAUAAAACAAAACCAUAAAAAUCGAUUGCGAACCGCUGAAAUCGAAAAAAAUCAGCGUUUCAGAAGGUUCAUAGUCUGGGAUAUAGAAUAAAUCAUCUUUUCAAGUCUUAUAGAGAGACUGACUCGUCUUUUUAUCUUGAUGAGUGUGGAAGUAAAGGAUAAAAUACUUUAACUGGGUGAUUGCCAAAUGUGGGAGGCAAGAAAAAGAAUAGAAGUUGUUGAAAAGAGAAUAAGUUACCAAACAAUACAAAUCUAUGUUAUCUUUGGUGGAGGCCGAGUAAAUGGAGUAUAGAAUAUUGUUUUCAAUUUAUUAUAGUUGAAGUGGAAUUUAAUGGAUAGUCCCAUACUACCUUUUUUUUAUGUUCACAUUAAAAAAAAUCGUUAUUUAUUUGUGUUAUGAUUAUGUAGUAGUUUAAAGUGUCAUAAAAUUCUUUUUCCAAACUAAAACUUCGUAUUGUGAAUUAAGAGAUUAUGACUAAGUCCUAUGAAUAAUCUUUUUAUUAAAACCAAUUUAAGAUCAAAUACCAAAUUUAUUCCUUGUGUUUAUUUACAAAUUCAAUAUUCACUCGUGUAGUACUACCAUAUUUGUUUAAAAUAUGGAAAUUUUAUUUCUUUGGUAAUAAAACAAAUAAAUAUAUCAUAUAUUAAAUUAAAAUUGUCAAAUGAAUUGUUUACGAUUCGACAUUGGCUCGACUCUAGCCCAAACUUAAAAACCUUACACUCUUAUCUACACCAAUUUAUUGUUUGGUUCAGUUUUAACUAUCGUUAUAUAUACAAUGAAUUAGGUAGCAAAAUCCAAAAGUUUUGAACCCAUAAUUAGUUCUCAUACCAUAAUUGACUCUCACAACACUCUUAUUUAAAUAUGUGAUUAAAUUCACUGUUAACUACUUUACUUAACUAGAAUUCAUUUAAAUUUUCAACAUUAUCUAUUACUUAUUUUCUGAACAUAACCCCUAAUAGUAGUCAGAGGAAUGAAUAUGUGGGUAAAGGUUUAAAAAAUAAAGAUAACUUUGGGGUGAAAAUAAUAAUAAAUUUUUCUUUGGUAUUUUUAAUGGACAAAUGAUUUGAAACAGAUUUUUGUUUUUUCAAAACUGACACAUAUUAUGAGUCUGAUGUAUUAAUUAAUUCUCUUUCACGAAAGGUCUAAUUUCUUUUCAGAAGUAGUGUUAUAUAAAACAUAUGUACUUCAUUAAAUUGUAUCAUAUAACUGUUCAGUCAGUAAAAUAAUUACAUAACAUUUAUAAUACAGGUCAAUUAAAUCACACUAAAAUCUCAUUACAAUUAAUUUGUAGUAAAACACUUCAAAUGUUCACUCAAUUGUGGUAGUGAUGUAGCUUGGCUGUGUUAUCAGGAUCGUUAACCUGAAGGUCCAGUCGAGCAUUGGAGGAGCCAAUCUGGUCUUAACUUUUAAUUUAUGUUACCCUUAUUUUUCUGAAUUUGUAAUGAUCACACAUCAUCUACAAAGGUUAAUUAUUUAUGUGACUCAAUAAAUACCUCGUUAUUUUUUAUAGAAAGAUGUAAAAUAUAGCUUUAAUAUACUCUCUAAUAAGACUGUGUAAGACGAGUGAGUUAAAGCACUGAAAAUAGAUUGGUCAACGUACAGACGGCUAAUGACUAGUGAGGAUGAAACGGACCUGAAAAUGUAUGUCAAGUAAAUAUUAUAGAAAGCAAACCUAAUCGAUUUGCGACGCUGAAAUCGAAAUCAGGUUUUUAGGAGCGUUUAUUAGUCUGACAUGGGAUUGAUAUAUCUUUUCACGCUUAUGGCAGAGAUUGAUCGUUAUUGAUGCAGUUGUGGCAUAAAGUGAUAAACUUUACUGCUGUGAUGCAAUGGGAUGAAGAAAAGGAAUGAAGUUUGUGAAAGAGACUCUUAAAAAAUAAAUCUGUGUUAUUCUUGUAGUCGAGGUCUGGGGUAAUCUGGAGAUGGUCUGUUUCAAUUAUUAGUUUGAAGGUUGAUAUGGUACCAAUUCUAACUUUGUUUGUUAAUUAAUAAUCAUUAUUUAUUUGUGUAUAUGAUAUGUACAGUAGUUUUAGUGCUGAUAAUUUCUGUUUGUUUCAAUAUAAAAGUGUAUUGGUGAUUAAAGGAAUUUGAUAGUCCCUCCGCAUAGAAUACACAUUUUUAUUAAACAAUUAUGAUCCAUACCAUUCUUCCCUGUGUGUNNNNNNNNNNNNNNNNNNNNNNNNNCAUGCGUAAAAUCAUUAUUUAUUUUGUUAUGAUUGUACAGUAGUUUUAAGUGUGGAUAAUAAUUCUGUUUUUUCAAUAUAAAAGAUGUAUGGUGAUAAAGAGAUUAUGACUAGGUCCUCGAUGAAUAACUUUUUAUUUAAGAAGCCAUUUAAGAUCAAUACAAAGUUUUUCCCUUGUGUUUAUUUACAAAUGCAAGUAUUCACUCGUGUAGUACUACCAUAUUUGUAUAAAAUAUGGAAAUUUUAUUUCUUUGGUAAUAAAACAAAUAAAUAUAUCUUAUAUUAAAUUAAACUUUUCAAAUGAAUUGUUUCCGAUUCGACAUUGACUCGACUCUAGCCUAAACUUAAAACCUUGCACUCUUAUCUACACCAAUUUAUCGUUUGGUUCAGUUUUAACUAUUGUUAUAUAUACAAUGAAUUAGGUAGCAAAAUCCAAAAGUUUUCAACCCAUAAUUAGUUCUCAUACCAUAAUUGACUCUCACAACACUCUUAUUUAAAUAUGUGAUUAAAUUCACUGUUAACUACUUUACUUAACUAGAAUUAAUUUAAAUUCUCAACAUUAUCUAUUACUUAUUUUCUGAACAUACACUACGCCAAAAAGGACUAUUAACAGCGCAUCUUAGACAGCGCUUUUAAAAGAAAGCGCUGUCUAAGGUUAAAAUAAAAAUGAAGCGCUGAAAAUGUUCCAAGAAAAUAAUGAAAGCGCUGUGUUAACUCUAAUUUAAAUUUUAAUGCUUACCACUAUAUUUUUGUAAAUUUUACAAUGCAUCAACAUUAAUUUCAAAAGUUAAUUUACAAUUUUGUGAAUCAACUAAAUAAAAUUUAUUUUCUUCAAUUAGCCAAAGAGACAUGUCGUAAGAGAGAAUAUAGCUACAUUACAUAUUAUUUAAAAAGGACUACGAUGAAGAACGAAGUUGAUUAAGCACUUUGAAGACAAUAGACACAUUGCGAUCAAAACCGUACCAGACAGGCCGCUAUGACUAGUUGAAGAGAAAACGGAACGGUGUCAUGUCCAAGUAAACAUAAUAACCUAGAAAACAAAACCAUAAAAAUCGAUUGCGAACCGCUGAAAUCGAAAAAAAUCAGCGUUUUAGGAGGUUCAUAGUCUGGGAUAUAGAAUAAAUCAUCUUUUCAAGUCUUAUGGAGAGACUGACUCGUCUUUUUAUCUUGAUGAGUGUGGAAAUAAAGGAUAAAAUACUUUAACUGGGUGAUUGCCAAAUGUGGGAGGCAAGAAAAAGAAUAGAAGUUGUUGAAAAGAGAAUAAGUUACCAAACAAUACACAUCUAUGUUAUCUUUGUAGGAGGCCGAGUAAAUGGAGAAUAGAAUAUUGUUUUCAAUUUAUUAUAGUUGAAGUGGAAUUUAAUGGAUAGUCCCAUACUACCUUUUUUUUAUGUUCACAUUAAAAAAAAUCGUUAUUUAUUUGUGUUAUGAUUAUGUAGUAGUUUAAAGUGUCAUAAAAUUCUUUUUCCAAACUAAAACUUCGUAUUGUGAAUUAAGAGAUUAUGACUAAGUCCUAUGAAUAAUCUUUCUAUUAAAAACAAUUUAAGAUCAAAUACCAAAUUUAUUCCUUGUGUUUAUUUACAAAUUCAAUACUCACUCGUGUAGUACUACCAUAUUUGUAUAAAAUAUGGAAAUUUUAUUUCUUUGGUAAUAAAACAAAUAAAUAUAUCUUAUAUUAAAUUAAAAUUGUCAAAUGAAUUGUUUCCGAUUCGACAUUGGCUCGACUCUAGCCAAAACUUAAAACCUUACACUCUUAUCUACACCAAUUUAUUGUUUGGUUCAGUUUUAACUAUUGUUAUAUAUACAAUGAAUUAGGUAGCAAAAUCCAAAAGUGUUCAACCCAUAAUUAGGUCUCAUACCAUAAUUGACUCUCACAACACUCCUAUUUAAAUAUGUGAUUAAAUUCACUGUUAACUACUUUACUUAACUAGAAUUCAUUUAAAUUCUCAACAUUAUCUAUUACUUAUUUUCUGAACAUAACCCCUAAUUCUUAUUUUCUUUCUUUUCUGAAAUCUAUUUUAUAUAAAUAUACUACUCCAUCAUUCUAAUUUAAAAUUGUCUUUAAUGAUAUUGACACAUUUCUUAUAUUAAUAGUUAGUUUUGUUGAUUUCCAAUAUAAAAUCAAUAUUAUUUAAUAAUAUAUUUUUAAUAAUAGUAGUCAGAGGAAUGCAUAUGUGGGUAAAGGUUUAAAAAAUAAUGGUAACCUUGGGGGGUGGGGGGAAAUAAUAAUAAAUUUUUCUUUGGUAUUUUUAAUGGACAAAUGAUUUGAAACAGAUUUUUGUUUUUUCAAAACUGACACAUAUUAUGAGUCUGAUGGAUUAAUUAAUUCUUUUUCACGAAAGGUCGUGUUACUUAAAACCAUAUGAACUAUCAUUAAAAUUGAUAUAAUAAUAAACUUUCAUCAGUCAAACAAUUGAAACAUUCACAUUUAUAACUACAUGUAAAUGGAAUAACAACUAAUCAAUAAAAUACAAUUACAAAUACUUUUAUUAAAACCAUUUAAAAUGUUUCAAUGAAACAUAGGUGGUUUCGUGGUGUAGUU
rnacentral:lncRNA from 1 species